CUAAAACUGCUUACAAUACAAUGGCGCCGAUUCUGCUGUCUUUCUCUAAACUAAAUUUAGACUGUGUGCAACUUUUUCUUUUUAAUUUUAUUAAAAAAGGACUGAACAUGAAUUUUAAA